rnacentral:tRNA from 1 species
CCUUCACUUUUAAAGGAUAGAAGCCUAAUCCA